rnacentral:rRNA from 1 species
AAUUUAAAGUCUAAUCUGCCCACUGAUAAAUAUAUAUUAAAGGGCUGCCGUAUAUUGACUGUACAAAGGUAGCAUAAUCAAUAGUCUUUUAAUUGAAGACUUGUAUGAAAGAUUUGAUGAAAUAUAAACUGUCUCUAAUUUAAAAAUAAAAUUUAAUUUUUUAGUUAAAAAGCUAAAAUAAAUUUAAAAGACGAGAAGACCCUAUAGAGUUUAAUAUUAAAAUUAUUUAAGAUUAUAUAUAUAAAUAAAAAUUGAAAAUUAAAUUAAUAUUUUAUUGGGGUGAUAAAAAAAUUUAUAUAACUUUUUUUAAAAAUUAACAUAAAUAAGUGAAUAAUUGAUCCAUUAUUAAUGAUUAAAAGAAAAAAUUACCUUAGGGAUAACAGCGUAAUAUUUUUUUUUAGUACAAAUAAAAAAAAAAAUUUGCGACCUCGAUGUUGGAUUAAGAUAAAAUUUAAAUGCAAAAGUUUAAAAUCUUGAUCUGUUCGAUCAUUAAAAUCUUACA